GUGCAGCAGCCGCGGUACUACCGGCAGCCCAAGUGAUGGUCACUCUUAUUGGGCCUAAAGCGUCCGUAGCCGGCCUCGCAAGUCCGUCGGGAAAUCCGCCCGCUCAACGGGCGGCCGUCCGGCGGAACCUGUGUGGCUUGGGACCGGGAGGCCUGAGGGGUACGAUCGGGGUAGGAGUGAAAUCCUGUAAUCCCGCACGGACCACCGAUGGCGAAAGCACUUCGAGAAAACGGAUCCGACAGUGAGGGACGAAAGCCAGGGUCUCCAACCGGAUUAGAUACCCGUGUAGUCC
rnacentral:rRNA from 1 species